rnacentral:rRNA from 1 species
UCUGGUAGUGAUGGCGAGAAGGUCACACCCGUUCCCAUACCGAACACGGAAGUUAAGCUUCUCAGCGCCGAUGGUAGUUAGGGGCUGUCCCCUUGUGAGAGUAGGACGCUGCCGGGC